AUUGAACGCUGGCGGCAGGCCUAACACAUGCAAGUCGAGCGGAUGAAGGGAGCUUGCUCCUGGAUUCAGCGGCGGACGGGUGAGUAAUGCCUAGGAAUCUGCCUGGUAGUGGGGGAUAACGUCCGGAAACGGGCGCUAAUACCGCAUACGUCCUGAGGGAGAAAGUGGGGAUCUUCGGACCUCACGCUAUCAGAUGAGCCUAGGUCGGAUUAGCUAGUUGGUGGGGUAAAGGCCUACCAAGGCGACGAUCCGUAACUGGUCUGAGAGGAUGAUCAGUCACACUGGAACUGAGACACGGUCCAGACUCCUACGGGAGGCAGCAGUGGGGAAUAUUGGACAAUGGGCGAAAGCCUGAUCCAGCCAUGCCGCGUGUGUGAAGAAGGUCUUCGGAUUGUAAAGCACUUUAAGUUGGGAGGAAGGGCAGUAAGUUAAUACCUUGCUGUUUUGGCGUUACCAACAGAAUAAGCACCGGCUAACUUCGUG
rnacentral:rRNA from 1 species